GUAGACUACAGCGGUUUUGGAGGAUAGUGAGAAUGUGAGGAAGAAAGGGAAGCAGAUUGAUGAAGAGACUACCAUCUCGGCGAAUCGGUGGCAUGAAUGCUUGAUGAAACUUUUCAAUGGGAGGCCGCUGGACUUUGCGAGUAGCAUUAAUCUGAUUGUGAGCCGCUUUACGAUGGAUUGAUCGACUAAGACGUUGGAUAAAAGGAGAGCUGAAACUGGACAGACAAGGAAAGUAGCGAUGAGCAUGAACGAACCGGCGUUGAACCGGAGGAUCCGUACCGUUUCUCUCAGGAUCUCUAGUGCGUUCAUCGGAUGGUUGAACUGGUGCGAUGAUGGUGACGAUGAUGAUGAUGAUGA
rnacentral:lncRNA from 1 species